UCAACAGAAUGAAGGAACUGCAACAGUGAG
rnacentral:piRNA from 1 species